GCCUAAACUUCUUACCAACUGAAAGAUAAUUGGUCAUUUUACAAGUUACAUUUCGAGAAUGAGAAUUGCUAAAAUGUUUACAAUUUUUAGAAAUUUUUUGAAAAAUUGGUAUCUCUUUUUAAGAAUGCCGAAAAACAUUCUUUUGGAAAACAGUUACAUUUAAAUUAUUUUUAUUUACAUUUUGUAGAUGAUGAUAUGUUCGGAAAGUUUUUUGAAGAGGUCAAAUCUAACUCUCCAAUUUGUAUUAAAGAAUUUAAAGUUAUAUCACCUACAAACUUACAAUUUACCGACUGUCAACAAUUUAAUAUAACAAUUUUAUCAGAUAAAUACGGCAGUGGUUACUAUUAUAAAUCAGGGUUGAUAAUAACUGCAAAACACAUUUUAGAUAAAGAUGACAAUAUAAUUGUUAUUUUUUCAUGUAAAGAUUUUUAUUUGAUGUAUUCAGCAGAAUGUCUAAAGACUUCACAAAAGAUUGAUUUAGCUAUAAUUAAAUUAAAAGGCAGCCUUGCUCCUCUGCAAGAUAUAAAAAUAACAAAAAAUUUUUGUGGAAAUGAUAUUAAAGUCUUAUAUUUUUACACCCGAAAGUCAGGAAAAUUAGUAAAGAAAGAAUGCAAAAUUAUUAAGAACCCCCCUCUAUCUUUGAAGAAGAAAAUGCGAGAAAAUGAAUGGUUAAUUUCUGAAGUAGGUACUUUUGGAGACAGUGGAGGCCCGGUUUAUACAUCAGAUAAUAAAUUUUUUGGGAUAUACCUUGGGGAGAAACGUUUAAAAAAACCCUGUUAUUCUAAAGAAUUAAAAUAUGGAUGGAUUUUAAAAAUUGAUGUUGAAUUAUUAAAAAUGUAAUUUGAUUUAAAAUGUAAUUGUUUCCAAAACGUAAUUAAAAUGUGUUACUCAAGGCAUUGCUUAAAAUGUAUCUUUCUUAAUAACAAACUUAUUUAUAAAAACAAAUCAAUUUAUAAAAUUAUAAUUAUAGCAAAUAUUAUCGGCAAAUUUUAGAUAUUUGAUGUGGGACAACCCCCAGCCCCAGAUCCCCCCCCCCUCACAUCUUGAGGGGGUUGUUACAUUUCGAGAAUGAGAAUUGCUAAAAUGUUUACAAUUUUUAGAAAUUUUUUAGAAAAAUUGGUAUCUCUUUUUAAGAAUACCGAAAAACAGUUACAUUUAAAUUAUUUUUAUUUACAUUUUCGAGAUGAUGAUAUGUUAGAUUUUUUUUUUUUUUGAAGAGGUCAUAUCUAACUGUUAUAAUUGUUAUUUUUUCAUAUAAAGAUUUUUAUUUGAUGUAUUCAGCAGAAUGUCUAAAUACUUUACAAAAUAAUGAUUUAGCUUUUAUUAAAUUAAAAGGCAGCCUUGCUCCUCUGCAAGAUAUAAAAAUAACAACAUUUUUUUGUGGAAAUGAUAUUAAAGACUUUUAAUAUUUUUACACCGGAAAUUCAGGAAACUUAGUAAAGAAAGAAUGCGAAAUUAUUAAGAACCCCCCUCCAUCUUUGAAGAAGAAAAUGCGAGAAAAUGAAUGGUUAAUUUCUGAAGUAGGUACUUUUGGAGACAGUGGAGGCCCGGUUUAUACAACAGAUAAUGAAUAUUUUGGGAUAUACCUUGGGGAGAAACGUUUGAAAAAAGGUUUCAAAUGUUUGGAAUUGAAAUAUGAUAUGAAUCAAUUAUUACAAAUGUAAUUUGAUUUAAAAUGUAAUUGUUUCCAAAACGUAAUUAAAAUGUGUUACUCAAGGCAUUGCUUAACGAUUUUAUUUUAUCUCCAUUUGUUCUUUUUUUAUUGCGACUUGAACAGAGGUAGGUUUUGUCAAAAAACAACAUUUCAGACAAAAAGCUGAGAAAAAAGCAUGUUUAUGUCUGAUAUUUUGAGCUUCUCAUACUCCACUUCUUCAUGUUUGAGACAAUCGCAGUCUGUUUCUUUGAUCAAAGAGUUGCGUACUCUUUCAAAACAUGCGGAGGGGUCUUCCUUACCGUAUAACACCUAAAACACGGAAACCCGGAAAAUUCCGUGUUUGGCGGGGAAAGAGUUCAAAUGUAUCUUUAUUAAUAACAAACGUGUUUAUAUAAACAAAUCAAUUUAUAAAAUUAUAAUUAUAGCAAAUAUUAUCGGCAAAUUUUAGAUACUUGAUGUGAGACAACCCCCAGCCCCCACCCCCACCCCCCCUUUCAGAACAUCUUGAGGGGGUUGUUCCGCCCAUCCCUAAAUCUGCCACUGUGAACAUUUUGCAAUUCUCAUUCCGAAUGUAUACUUGUGAAUGUACCAAUUGUCCAGCAGCUUCCGGAGAGAGAUGUUUUGUCUUCCCCAAAACAACAACAUGUGUCCUACACUGGUCUGCAGCUGGUGUCUUGAAGAAAGAUGUUGCCUCUGUGAUUUUGAAAGCUUUUGGGAAUGCAAAAUAAACCCCAUCUGUUUCAAGGAACAUGAAACCACUCUCAAUAACAUCCAGACCAACUGAACCAGCAAAAACCACCAUCAGACUGAAUAAAUGAUUGUGGGUCGCAAUUACACAAGCUCUCUCUGGGUGGCUCAGCGGUACCACGCUGAGCUACCACCCCUGGCAUCACGAGUUUGGAUCCCAGGGCAUGCUGAGUGACUCCAGCAAAGUCUCCUAAGCAAUCAAAUUGGCCCGUCUUGCGAGGGAGGGUAGAGUCACAAGGGAAAACCUCCUCAUGGUUCGCUCUAAGUGGGGCGCGUGGAUGCCGCGUGAAGCCUCUCCGCUGUAACGCGCUCAACAAGCCACAUGAUAAGAUGCGCGGGUUGAUGGUCUCAGACAUGGGGGCAUCUGAGAUUCGUCCUCCACCACCCGGAUUGUGGCACUACGCGACCACGAGGACUUAAAAGAAGCAUUUAGAUUAGAACAUUCCAAAUUGGGUGAAAAAGGGAAAAAAUAAAGUUCAUUCAUUUGAAAACCUGUCUUUAAAUUGUUAUUAAAGAACAAUGAACAUA